GGAACAAGAAAUAUUAAAGGCAUCAUGGUGAAGCUUCUAGAAGCUGAGAUAACCUUGAAUCCAAAAUGCUUCAGUAAUAUGGUAAAUUUUCAAAUUUUCAUAAACCGUAAUGCAUCUCUAUGCAGGCACAUUAACUAUCUGCCCAGAGCGUUAAGAUUUAUUGAUUGGGGUAGAUGUCAGUUACAAUCUUUGCCACCUAAUUUUCAAGGAAAUCGUCUUGUUGAGUUCAAUAUGCCUUGCAGUCAUAUCAAACAAUUGGAGGGAUUUAAGGUAUGUAUUUGAAAUUAUUUUCAUCUAUUAUAUAUAAUUUCAAAUAGA
rnacentral:lncRNA from 1 species